GAUGAACGCUGGCGGCGUGCCUAAUACAUGCAAGUCGAGCGAACGGACGAGAAGCUUGCUUCUCUGAUGUUAGCGGCGGACGGGUGAGUAACACGUGGAUAACCUACCUAUAAGACUGGGAUAACUUCGGGAAACCGGAGCUAAUACCGGUUGAUAUUUUGAACCGCAUGGUUCAAAAGUGAAAGACGGUCUUGCUGUCACUUAUAGAUGGAUCCGCGCUGCAUUAGCUAGUUGGUAAGGUAACGGCUUACCAAGGCAACGAUGCAUAGCCGACCUGAGAGGGUGAUCGGCCACACUGGAACUGAGACACGGUCCAGACUCCUACGGGAGGCAGCAGUAGGGAAUCUUGCGCAAUGGGCGAGAGCCUGACGGAGCAACGCCGCGUGAGUGAUGAAGGUCUUCGGAUCGUAAAACUCUGUUAUUAGGGAAGAACAUAUGUGUAAGUAACUGUGCACAUAUUGACGGUACCUAAUCAGAAAGCCACGGCUAACUACGUG
rnacentral:rRNA from 1 species